UCCUUUUUUCCUGUUCUCUGUCAAGAUAUAUCCCACAGUGCUUCAAUAAUGUUGAGGUCCAGGCUCUGGGGAGGAAAAUCCAUGACCGAUUGUAUUCUACUGUGUAUUCUUUACCUAGGUGCGAUCGUGGCUCAACAGUUGGCCGUUCGUCUUGUAAUCGGAAGGUUGCUGGUUUGAGCCCCCGGCUCCGACAGUCUCGGUCGUUGUGUCCUUGGGCAUACACUAUAGCACUUUACACUAGUGUAAAGUGCUUUGGGGUCCUUAGGACCAAGCAAAGCGCUAUACAAAUACAGGCCAUUUACCAUUUUUCGGUACUGCAUUGGCAGUGUGUAUAUGAUCACUGCCAUACUGAAAAUUUAUGUUACCAACCAGACACUUCCCAGAUGAUAUAACAUUGUGGAUGAAAAUUGGACAAGAUCUCAAACACCAAAGGUUAAAAUGCAGCCUGAACAAAGAAAGAGUCCCCAGCAUAUGUUGUAGAUGUCUGUAGACAAUCACUGUUGUAGCUCUCUUCAGAAGUCCUCCAUACAUACUGUGACAUACCUCAGCCUUUUGCUCUUGCUACCCUUCUUUAGGAAUGGUCUUUGGCAGCCAUCUGUCUGCUGACAAUAGAUCAACUGAAGGGCCACACAACAAUAGUUCAUCACUUGAGUUAUGUAGUUGGGUGCUUUUUUGUUUUUUUAGAAUAGAAUAAUCCUUUAAUUGUCCCACAAGGGGAAAUUUGGUCAGCCAGAAAGACACAGAAAGACAUUUUAUACUUGAAUUUAAAAAAUAUCCCCUGAAAAUGGUCAGCUACAAGGAGUGGAUUGAAAAUGAUUUUAAAAAAAAGAAUGCAUUGUCCAAAAAUCUUUGAAAGAUUUUCAAAAAGUUUGGUUGUGUUGUAAUUGUUUUGUUGUUUUUGCAUGUUUGCAUUUUGUGUGUGUGUGUGUGUGUGUGUGUGUGUAUAAAGAAUUCUGCUAGAACAGUAGUUUCAAGAAGCUCUGCUAUCAAAUGUACUGCCUUCCCUGAGGUCCUCUGGGUGUGUUUCAUUGUGCAGAGAGUGAUCCAGCUGCAGUCUUUCCAGCAGUGACAACAGACUACAUCACUUAUGGGCAGAUCAUCAUCAAAGACAAGCAAAAAAAGUCAGAGAACGAUCCAGCUAUAGUGUACUCAGGAGUGAGAACGGAAGACAUCAAUUGCGGACAAAUAGCCUUCAGACCAAAGAGGAAAAAAGACUGUAAACCAGAGCCAGACGUCAUCUACUCUUCACUGAAGUAGUCCACCAAUCCAACCACUGAUGUCCAGCUGCUGGUCUCUAACUGGCCCCCCCAGCACCUCCACAGAAACAUCCAUAUGUUGAAAAGAUUUCUUUUUGAUGUUUUGUGUCUUUUAUUUGACUUAUUACAUCCUCCUCCACUUACAAAUUCAGGGUUGCAGUGGGACUGGAGCCUAUCCCAGCUGCCGUAGGACAAGGCUCAGGGUACACCUUCAGCAGGUCCCCGUUCUUGCAGGGCUAACACAGAGAGAGAAUUUAGAGUCAUCAACUAACCUAACCCCACUAACUGCAUG